UGGGUUCUCUUGUAGGUUCGAGCAAAACACAAGGAAGUCUGCCUUCAUAAGGACAGUCCUUUGGAAGAGACUAUCCUUGAAUGCUACAACUGUGGAUACCAAAAUGUAUUCCUUCUUGGAUUUAUAUCAGCUAAGAGGUAAAGUGUUAUUGUUCUUCUCUGUAGGAACCUUGCUUGAAUGUAAAUGCACUGAAGGACAUGAAUUGGAAUCUGGGUCAGUGGUGCCCCUUGAUUGAUGAUAGGUGUUUCUUGCAAUGGCUUGUUAAGAUCCCAUCUGAGCAGGAGCAGUUGAGGGCACGUCAGAUCAGUGCUCAGCAAAA